CCACUGCUAUUGAAACUCCACUGCACUCUUCUUCAGAUGCAGCAGUAUUUCCUGCUUAUAUUCCAGUGGAAGCAUUGAACUGAGGGGACUGGUUUAUAUUUUGCUGUGUUUCAAGUUUUCAUAGAGUGUAGCCCAAAGCUUCACUCAGUGCUUUGGAACCGAAAUGCUCUUGUCUAUUGUCAGAGAAUAUACUGGACAACUCCAUCUGUUUGUUGUUGUAGGGAAUUUACACAGGCCGAGUCCUCACUCUGCAGGAGUUGUUAGUCCAGGUGGGAAAGCUCAACGCUGAAGCUGUGAGAGGCUGGAACAGACUCAGGCAGCCGGUUUGUAAUGUUACAGGUCCAGUUUCCAGUGGCUCAUUUAUCCUGUUCACUACCACCAGUCUUAGCACAAAACUGCAUUUUCUCAGCAGGUCAGUGGUUACACUGCAGGCAAAUGCUAAGCAGGGAGUAAGUAAUUGUAUUUCCUAAUCCUACAGAACCAAUUUAAAUCAGAACUGCUCCCUAACUGCAGCAGUACUGGUUUGGAACACCCAGCCUUGUCUGAUUUCAAGCACAUUUAUUACUUCUCACCUUUAAGACCUUUUCUCUCAGAUGAAAUUUGCCACAGAACUAAAUACUUGGCUGCUGGCUGUUCCUUUUGAUAGUGGCCAGAAAUUGUUCUUAAAAACUAUGCAAGUGGUGUAGUGGAUUUCCAGAGCAGGUUGGUGCCAUGCUGCACCUGGAAAUACAGAGCCAUGGAAGAGAUGUGGAAGGGACUUAAAGAGAGCACCUAUUUCAGCUCCCUCUCACGAGGAACUGACCUGGCAAAUGUUUACUCUGAUUUAAAACUUCCAAUGCGAGGAGUGUCAUGAACUCCUCAAGCAGUUCACUCCACUUCUUUUCUACUCUUGCAGCAGCUGAAAUGUUGAAGUUAUUUCCUAAAUCUAAUUAACCCUCCCUUGCCUCAUUUUAAAUCUUUUACUUCUUGUCUUCCGUAUGGUCUCAGAAAAUUUAAUUAUCUUUUUUGUAGCAGUCCUUACUCAAAGAUGGCUGUAAUUUCUGCCCUCAUCCUUUGUCUUUUUUAAACUAAAUAAACCAGUUGAGAAAAAACUGA